UUUCCGUAGGUGAACCUGCGGAAGGAUCAUUACAGUAGUCGCCUGGGUUGCCGCAAGGCCUCCCGGGUAACCUGCCACCCUUUGUUUAUUACACUUUGUUGCUUUGGCAGGCCUGCCCUCGGGCUGCUGGCUCCGGCCGGCGAGCGCUUGCCAGAGGACCUAAACUCUGUUUGUCUAUACUGUCUGAGUACUAUAUAAUAGUUAAGACUUUCAACAACGGAUCUCUUGGUUCUG
rnacentral:misc_RNA from 1 species